UAAUUAAUUUUCUAAGUGAAAAUCAUGAAAACAAAGAAAUAAUGACUAGUGCAAUAAGGCUCCUCAUGAGCCACGGCAGAGAGAUAUAUAGUGAUGAUGUAAAGGGAGCCCCACUCCAUUUAUUAUACUUCAUUUAUCCUAGAAAUCAAUCAAGGUAAGAGAGCUAACGAAGAGAAGAAUGAGGGAGAGCGGAACGGCGACGAGACGGCUAACGCUGGUGGCUUUUUGCCGAUAAAAACUCUGACGUUAUUUCGAUGGCGGCGUCCACUGGUGCUUUGUCGGUUUACAUCGCAGCUACUAAGAGCAGUUCAUGGUAGCGGUGCUGGCUUUGAGGCUGGCCGGUUGGUUGGAGAAGUGGCGAUAAGAGGGAGAAAGUGGGGGUGACGUUAGCACAACGGCUGGUGGUCGACCGGUGAUGGAUGGCGAAGCGGAGGUUUGGUUCCAUCGAUUUUGGUAACACGAUAGGGAGAAAGAGGAGGCGAGGAAGGCGGCACCGUUGUUGGUCAAUCCACCGGUGGUGGUUCGCCGUCUGUUAUGGGAGUCUUCUAGAGAGAGAGAAUAUAGAAG
rnacentral:lncRNA from 1 species